GGGGAUGUAGCUCAAUGGUACAGUGCCUGCCUGGCAAGCACGAGGCCCUGGGUUGGAUUCCUAGUACCA
rnacentral:tRNA from 1 species